AAAUAUUAAAUAGCCGCAGUAUUAUGACUGUGCAAAGGUAGCAUAAUCAUUAGUUUUUUAAUUAAAAACUUGUAUGAAUGGUUGGACAAGAAAAGUUCUGUCUUUAAUAUAAAAAUUGAAUUUAACUUUUAAGUGAAAAGGCUUAAAUAUUUCAAGGGGACGAUAAGACCCUAAAAACAUUUUGUUGGGGCGACAUAGGUAUAAUUUAUAACUGCUUAGUUUUAAAACAUUUAUAUUUGAAAUGAUCCUUAUUAAAGAUUUAAGAUUAAGUUACUUUAGGGAUAACAGCGUUAUUUUUUUUGAGAGUUCAUAUCGAAAAAAAAGUUUGCGACCUCGAUGUUGAAUUAAAUAUCUUUUUAAUGUAGCCGUUAAAAGAAGAAGGUCUGUUCGACCUUUAAAUUUUU
rnacentral:rRNA from 1 species